rnacentral:lncRNA from 1 species
AGGUUGCCAAUGUGUUAUUUUAUGAAAGAAACAAAUUCAUGUUUCCCAUCAGUACCAACAAAUUCAGCACUGAACAUUUUACCAUUGGAUGAACUGCACAAUCACAUGUAUUUCUCGUGUCCUUUGAUUGUGAAAUCCAAAUCUUUUGGAGGAGGUUAUUUUUUUAUGAAUGCAAGCAUUGCUUAGCGGAACUUAUCCUAAAUCGUUAUAACAUAAAUUAAUGUAACUUAGUGGAAAAAGCGUUAUAGAUAGAGAUGGGACCAAGCUCUUCAAAGGUUAAAAGACUUCCGAAUAAGAGUUCCAUCUUGAAACUCAGAUUUGGGACAACACGACAUUUUGGAUUGCAAAUUCAUUAUGCAGGAGACUUACUUAAAGUAACACAACUAAAGUUUGGUUUAUGCAGCUAUUUCAAUUAAGGUUGUCACAGGCGAUAGUAAAAUGUACAAUCCAUGCUCAUUCAAUAUUACCCAAUAAAAUUGAAACCCAGAAAAAUAUCCAUGUUGCGUGUGGGUUUCCCAAAGUAAAACUGAAUUAAAGUUAGGUAGGUCCUACUUGCUUGGAUGGUACGUUGGAAUUGGUAGGUUUCAACCAAUCCCUUUAACACAAAUGCAGUUGGAUUCUAGUAAGAUUCUUUGUUUAAAUGCCCUCCAUGCAUGUCCAGUGAAGUAGUCUGAUGAAAGCCAUGCACCUACUUCUUGUAACAACUUUAUUGAAAUGGAUGUGUCGUGCAAGCGCGUGUGUCAUAAUCAGCAAGACGAAAUGGAGUGCGGACAUAGGCGUACCGAGCGGGGGGGCGGGGGGGGGGGGCGGUAGCCACCCCAGUUUUUUGGGCAAUCGGGCAAUAUUCGAUCAACAGUCGGGCAAUUUUGGUUUGCAAUAAAAAAAAAAUGGGACCAAUUCUGUCAAUUUUGUCUAAAAUUAAGUCAAUUUAUUGGCAAAUUUUGUGAUUUUUCGAAAAUUUGUCUUAUGUUCCGAAAAAAAUUGGUUGUCCGGAAAAUUUUUUUUGACCCCUAAAAUGGUACACUGACCGAAAGGGGGGGGGGGAGGUCGCCAAAAUAAUUUUUCCGGAAAAAAUUUUUUGGAACUACUCGGGCAGAAUCCCUAAAAGUCGGGCAAUUUUCUUUCCGCCCCCCUCAUUUUUUCCUUCCGGUACGCCCAUGAGUGCGGAAAAGUGAUUAACACAUCAAUGUCUUGUUUGCCUCAAUUUAAGAUGGAACUUUUAAUUUAUUCAGAGUCUGUUUCGUCCGUUGCUAUAGAUAGGUAAAUAUUCUGAAACGGUAAUUAAUUGUAUAGAUUUUCUUAAAGUUAUCAUUACGCAGAGAAUAUUUUGUAAAAUUGUAAUUAUGUCAACAUCAACUUUUAUUAAAUAAAUUUUACAAAAUAAUUUACAAGAAACUACCUACAUUUAGCAAGCUAUUCGAGGUAGGUGGCUUUCAAUUGAUUGAUAAAUAUAUAGUAUAUCAAUUUAUCUUAAUAGUAUAAAUUAUCGCAAUUAAAAUCGGAAGGAACUGUUGAAAACAAAAACAAAAUUGUCUAAUUACAUUUAAUCUCUGG